CCCUUAGACGUUCUGGGCCGCACGCGUGCUACACUGACCAGUGCAACAAGCAUCCGUCCUUGGCCGACAGGCUCGGGCAAUCUUUGAACGCUGGUCGUGAUGGGGAUAGACUUUUGCAAUUUUUGGUCUUCAACGAGGAAUUCCUAGUAAACGCAAGUCAUCAACUUGCAUUGAUUACGUCCCUGCCCUUUGUACACACCGCCCGUCGCACCUACCGAUUGAAUGGUCCGGUGAAGCCUCCGGAUUGGCGCGCACCUCGGUGCCGCCGAGAAGUUGGCUAAACCUUACCAUUUAGAGGAAGGUGAAGUCGUAACA
rnacentral:rRNA from 1 species